rnacentral:rRNA from 1 species
AUACGUAGGAGACAAGCGUUAUCCGGAUUUACUGGGCGUAAAGGGCGUGUAGGCGGUCUUGCAAGUCAGAAGUGAAAUUCCUGAGCUCAACUCGGGCGCUGCUUCUGAAACUGCAGGACUUGAGUGCUGGAGGGGAUAGCGGAAUUCCUAGUGGAGCGGUAAAAUGCGCAGAUAUUAGGAAGAACACCGGUGGCGAAGGCGGAUAUCUGGACAGUAACUGACGCUGAGGCUCGAAAGCGUGGGGAGCAAACAGGAUUAGAUACCCUGGUUGUCCACGCCGUAAACGAUGAAUACUAGGUGUAUGGGGUAUCGACUCCCUCUGUGCCGCAGUUAACACAAUAAGUAUUCCGCCUGGGGAGUACGGCCGCAAGGUUGAAACUCAAAUGAAUUGACGGGG